UACGAAGGGGGCAAGCGUUGUUCGGAAUUACUGGGCGUAAAGGGCGCGUAGGUGGCCACUUCAAGCGUGCGGUGAAAGUCGGGGGCUCAACCCCUGAUCGGCCGUGCGAACUGGGGGGCUGGAGCACUGUAGAGGCAGGCGGAAUUCCGGGUGUAGCGGUGGAAUGCGUAGAGAUCCGGAAGAACACCGGUGGCGAAGGCGGCCUGCUGGGCAGUUUUGCUGACACUGAGGCGCGACAGCGUGGGGAGCAAACAGG
rnacentral:rRNA from 1 species